rnacentral:pre_miRNA from 14 species
GUCUAGGACCCCUGGGUGGUCGCGCAGAUCCCGGACGAGCCCCCAAAUGAAAGACCCCCGAAGGGAGCCCCCCACUCAAGUCUCGGGAAAGACGCGCACCCAGUAGGACGCAGACA